GUGUCAGCAGCCGCGGUAAUACGGAGGAUGCAAGCGUUAUCCGGAAUCAUUGGGCGUAAAGCGUCCGCAGGUGGCUCUUCAAGUCUGCCGUCAAAACUCAGGGCUUAACCCUGAACAGGCGGUGGAAACUGAAAAGCUAGAGUGCGGUAGGGGUAGAGGGAAUUCCCGGUGUAGCGGUGAAAUGCGUAGAGAUCGGGAAGAACACCAGUGGCGAAAGCGCUCUGCUGGACCUGCACUGACACUGAGGGACGAAAGCUAGGGGAGCGAAUGGGAUUAGAAACCCCAGUAGUCC
rnacentral:rRNA from 1 species